ACGAACGCUGGCGGCAUGCCUAACACAUGCAAGUCGAACGAGACCUUCGGGUCUAGUGGCGCACGGGUGCGUAACGCGUGGGAACCUGCCCUUAGAUUCGGAAUAACUCCCCGAAAGGGGUGCUAAUACCGGAUAAUGUCUUCGGACCAAAGAUUUAUCGCCUUUGGAUGGGCCCGCGUUGGAUUAGCUAGUUGGUAGGGUAAAAGCCUACCAAGGCGACGAUCCAUAGCUGGUCUGAGAGGAUGAUCAGCCACACUGGGACUGAGACACGGCCCAGACUCCUACGGGAGGCAGCAGUGGGGAAUAUUGGACAAUGGGCGAAAGCCUGAUCCAGCAAUGCCGCGUGAGUGAUGAAGGCCUUAGGGUUGUAAAGCUCUUUUACCCGGGAUGAUAAUGACAGUACCGGGAGAAUAAGCUCCGGCUAACUCCGUG
rnacentral:rRNA from 1 species